rnacentral:rRNA from 1 species
AGUGGGGAAUUUUGGACAAUGGGCGCAAGCCUGAUCCAGCAAUGCCGCGUGCAGGAAGAAGGCCUUCGGGUUGUAAACUGCUUUUGUCAGGGAAGAAAUCUUCUGGGCUAAUACCCCGGGAGGAUGACGGUACCUGAAGAAUAAGCACCGGCUAACUACGUGCCAGCAGCCGCGGUAAUACGUAGGGUGCGAGCGUUAAUCGGAAUUACUGGGCGUAAAGCGUGCGCAGGCGGCUUUGCAAGACAGAUGUGAAAUCCCCGGGCUCAACCUGGGAACUGCAUUUGUGACUGCAAGGCUAGAGUACGGCAGAGGGGGAUGGAAUUCCGCGUGUAGCAGUGAAAUGCGUAGAUAUGCGGAGGAACACCAAUGGCGAAGGCAAUCCCCUGGGCCUGUACUGACGCUCAUGCACGAAAGCGUGGGGAGCAAACAGGAUUAGAUACCCUGGUAGUCCACGCCCUAAACGAUGUCAACUGGUUGUUGGACGGCUUGCUGUUCAGUAACG